AGCGGCGGACGGGUGAGUAACACGUGGGCAACCUGCCCUGUAGACUGGGAUAACUUCGGGAAACCGAAGCUAAUACCGGAUAAUCGUAGAAGUUGCAUAGCUUCUAUGUAAAAGUUGGGUUUACCUAACACUACAGGAUGGGCCCGCGUCGCAUUAGCUAGUUGGUAAGGUAACGGCUUACCAAGGCGACGAUGCGUAGCCGACCUGAGAGGGUGAUCGGCCACACUGGGACUGAGACACGGCCCAGACUCCUACGGGAGGCAGCAGUAGGGAAUCUUCCGCAAUGGACGAAAGUCUGACGGAGCAACGCCGCGUGAGCGAUGAAGGCCUUCGGGUCGUAAAGCUCUGUUGUUAGGGAAGAACAAGUGCUAUUCGAAUAGGGUGGCACCUUGACGGUACCUAACGAGAAAGCCACGGCUAACUACGUGCCAGCAGCCGCGGUAAUACGUAGGUGGCAAGCGUUGUCCGGAAUUAUUGGGCGUAAAGCGCGC
rnacentral:rRNA from 1 species